CUGAAUUGUGUAUUUCUACAUAAACAACUCUGUUACAACAAAAUCAGGUAAAAUUCACAAAGAUAUACAAGUCUUCAAACGGACAUUUUCUUCCCCUUAAAUAUAAAAAGAUAAUUUGCCAAAUAACAUCAUACUCAAACCAUAAAGAAAAAAUCAUUAGAUACACAAGAGAAAUAGACAGAAAUUCAACAGUAGUGGGAGACACACACUUUCCUUAGUCUUUAAUGGAUCGAGUAAAAAUUAACAGUCUAUAAUAUAAUUAAUAAGGUCAAAUUAAUACAGAUAGACUGAAUUUUGUUCCCUUCAGACAUACACCUUCUUUUCCAGUUUCCUGGGAAUAUUUAUUAAAAUUGACAAGUGUUGUUCAGUCCCAAGAAGAGAGCAAUAAACUCCAAAAUGCAGAAAUUGUACAGGCCAUACCCUCUUGGACAGCAAAGCGGUUAAACUCAAAAUGAUUAACAAAUAUUAAAAACAAUAGUAGCAAAUAAACUAUCUGGAAAGUUAAGAACAUAAUUUCACAUAACUUUCCAGUGAAAAAUUAAGUUAGAUCUGAAAUUACAAAUUAUUUAUAACUUAAAACACUCUACUUAAAAAUGCAAGGGAAAUGGAUAAAGAAAUAUUCAGAAGAGAAGUCACGGCCUUACAACUGCUAGUAACUGUGUCCAUCAUUAAACAAGACAAAGCUUGGGAAGCCUGGGUGGCUCAGUGGUUGGGCAUCUGCCUUCACCUCUGGUCGUGAUCCCGGGGGUCCUGGGAUUGAGCCCUGCAUCAAGCUCCCCACAGGGAGCCUGUUUCUCCCUCUGCCUAUGUCUCUGCCUCUCUCUCUGUGUCUCUCAUGAAUAAAUAAAAUCUUAAAAACAACAACAACAACAAGACAAAGCUAAAAUGGCAGUCAACUUGAGAAGGUGAAAAAAUUAAGGAAAUAACAAUAACAAAAUAAUAAAAUUGUGAAAGGGUAAAUUUGGGUUUAGGUUCUUUGAAAAGACUGAUAAAAUAGACUAAUUCUGGAAAAACUAAUCAGGAUAAAAGGAAAACACAGACAUAUAAUAUUAUAAAUGAGAAAGGAGAAUACUCCAUGCUGGUAAAUCUGAAAAUCUUAACGGAAUCAUUAUUUAGCAAACUUAAAUGGGCCAAAACUCACAGAAUAGAGUUAAAAUUAAAAACAAAAGAGAGUUAAUAAAAAAAAAAGUGUCAGGGAAUUAUUUCCUAAAAAGGCACUAGACGUGGACAGUUUUACACAGGUUAUAAAAACUUGAAGGAACAAAAAAUUCUAAAUAUUAUUUAAACUGUUUCUAGGGCAUAGAAAAGAGAGAGCAAGAGCUCCCCAAGUUCUUGUUGUUGUUUUUUUUUAAAGAAGUUAACAUAAACCCAACACCAGUACCUGACAAAGCAGAGAAAAAAAUUACACAACUAUCCACCCUAACAUAUGAAAAAUUCCCAAGAUAGGAGCAAACCAAAUUCAGAAUUUUUUUUAUUUUAAAGCUCUUUUUAUUAUACAAGUAAUAUGUGAGACUUCUGGAAAAAUCAGAAAAUUCGGUAAGAACACAAAAUAAAAAUCUACCCUAAACUAACCCACCAUAAAUAACCACUAUUAACAUUGAGUAGAGAUCUAUAUGAAAAGAAUAAUAUACCAUUACUAAGCCAGUAGUUUUUAGAAAUGCAGAAAGGGUUUAGACAUUAGCACGUCUAUGAAAAUGAUUCAUCUUAGGUUAUGAUAAAAACCAUUCAAUCACCUCAAAAAAAAAAAAACCAUUUAAUCAUCUUGACAGAUGUGAAAAAAAAGGAAUUUAAUAAAUUUCAACAUCCACUACUGAUAAAGCUUUCAGCAAACUAGAAAGACAGAAUUUUAAUAUAGAAAUUAAAAUAUUAAGAAUAUCUUACACUAAGUCAAAUCUGUACUUUUAGUAAAACACUAGUAGUAUUUUUGCUAAGUAAAAAAAAAAAUCUUUUUUUUAUAUAUACGUAAAGAUUGUACAACGCCGGCACAAUGAUAUAUGUGUUACUUAACGUUCUUCCAAAAGUGCUGGUCAAUGUGAUAAGGAAGAAAAUGUGGAGGUAAAACUAUCAUCACCACCCAGAACUAUUAGCUACCUGAGACAGGCAAAAGAAUGAACAAUAGCAAAACCACCAGAACAACAGAAUACUCAGUAAUUGUCUAGGUACAAAAUAAACCACCAGUUGCUCCAUUAAAUAAACCAGUAUACACCACUAUGUAGAGUUAAGGAUGAGGUAGAUUGAUAUGUCCUGACACAGAAAGAUGCCCAAGCCCUAUUGCCAAGUAAAAAAUACAAGUAGUGGAAGAGUUGUAGCAGGUGGUCAAAAUGAUAAAAGAGAAAAACAUUUUUAGAAAAAAAAAAUUUGAAGAAUUUGCACCAAUUGUUGACUAUCUCAGGGCAGAGGGUAUUUUCAUUAUGGGGCACUUUUGGUCUGUUUUCCACUAAUGUGUACAUUUAUAUAACUCAUAUAAUACUUUAAAUAAAAAUCAGUGAGUCUGAUUUU
rnacentral:lncRNA from 1 species